rnacentral:rRNA from 1 species
UACGAAGGUGGCAAGCGUUGUUCGGAUUUACUGGGCGUACAGGGAGCGUAGGCGGUUGGAUAAGCCCUCCGUGAAAUCUCCAGGCUUAACCUGGAAAGUGCAGAGGGGACUGUUCAGCUAGAGGAUGGGAGAGGAGCGCGGAAUUCCCGGUGUAGCGGUGAAAUGCGCAGAUAUCAGGAGGAACACCGGUGGCGAAGGCGGGUCUCUGGGCCGAAAUUGACGCUGAGGAGCGAAAGCGUGGGGAGCAAACAGG